CGCGUUUUUCGCCCAGGCGGAGCUCGACCGCCGGCUGAAGUGAUGUACGCCUUUGUGGACCGGCACCGCCAGCAGCAUGGGGUCGAGCCGAUCUGCAGGCUGCUGCAGAUCGCCCCA
rfam:Aedes aegypti strain Liverpool supercont1.1537 genomic scaffold, whole genome shotgun sequence.